GUGGGGAAUAUUGGGCAAUGGGCGCAAGCCUGACCCAGCAACGCCGCGUGAAGGAAGAAGGCUUUCGGGUUGUAAACUUCUUUUACCAGGGACGAAACAAAUGACGGUACCUGGUGAAUAAGCCACGGCUAACUACGUGCCAGCAGCCGCGGUAAUACGUAGGUGGCGAGCGUUAUCCGGAUUUAUUGGGUGUAAAGGGCGUGUAGGCGGGACAGCAAGUCAGAUGUGAAAACCAGAGGCUCAACCUCUGGCCUGCAUUUGAAACUGUUGUUCUUGAGUGUCGGAGAGGUAAGCGGAAUUCCGUGUGUAGCGGUGAAAUGCGUAGAUAUACGGAGGAACACCAGUGGCGAAGGCGGAUUACUGGACGAUAACUGACGCUGAGGCGCGAAAGCGUGGGGAGCAAACAGGAUUAGAAACCCCAGUAGUCC
rnacentral:rRNA from 1 species